AGUUCCGGACAUGAGCUUACUGUGGUUUUGUUAUCAGUAAGCUCAUGUACGGUGCGCG
rnacentral:pre_miRNA from 1 species